AUUGAACGCUGGCGGCAGGCCUAACACAUGCAAGUCGAGCGGCAGCGCGGGGCAACCUGGCGGCGAGCGGCGAACGGGUGAGUAAUACAUGGGAAUCUGCCUGGUAGUGGGGGAUAACUCUGGGAAACUAGAGGUAAUACCGCAUACGUCCUACGGGAGAAAGCGGGGGAUCUUCGGACCUCGCGCUAUCAGAGGAGCCCAUGUCCGAUUAGCUAGUUGGUGAGGUAAAGGCUCACCAAGGCGACGAUCGGUAACUGGUCUGAGAGGAUGGUCAGUCACACUGGAACUGAGACACGGUCCAGACUCCUACGGGAGGCAGCAGUGGGGAAUAUUGGACAAUGGGGGCAACCCUGAUCCAGCCAUGCCGCGUGUGUGAAGAA
rnacentral:rRNA from 1 species